rnacentral:lncRNA from 10 species
AAAGCUGGUGCUGUCCUAGAAAUUGGGUCUCCCCUCCCAGAUCCAGGCUGCCUCCUGCAGGCUGCAGACUCUGACAUCCAGCCAUCUCAAUAUUCCAGAGAAGAGGAUGAGUGUGAAGGGUGGUGGCGAUUUUAAACAAGGUGAUCAGGAAGACCUUGUGGAUAACUUCGGGUCUGAGCACACUCCAUCAGGCUGCCGGAUAGUCUCACCAUUACUCCCGUUAUUUGGAACCUCUUCACUGCAACGUGACCUUGUUUAUGUGAGUUUAGCUCUCUGAGACUCAGUUUCCUCAAAUGCAA